GGUUUUUGAGUGAAAUCAAAACAAUUUAAAAUGAAUUUCAGGAAAUUUUUAACUAAUUCAAAUUGGAUUUUGACUAAAUUUUAAGAUAUCGUUAUAAAUAGAAAAUGGAAUCAAAAAUUUAUAAGAAUACUUGAGUGCACUCUCUCGUGGGCAACCAAUGAAUUGGUACUUGGAGAGAUGUUUAAGAGAGACCUCGUUCGUUUCAGCUUUAAUUUGUGGUGUUCUGCGAUCCUCGCAGGUGCUAGGUGUUGAACUAAAACGCGCCAAAAGCGCUUCACCCCUUUUAAUAUAGAAAAGCGAACCUGCGUCCAAUCCCGCGCUUCGAAACGAAAACGCGACGCCGACCAAUCCCAACAACGACGUCGACGACGCCGACGACAUCGUUGAGGUAACACUUUUUGUAUUUCUUGUAUAACCGGAAAUUUAUCAAUGGGACUCCAACAAAUUCCAUUGUGCACCUACGCAAUGUUUUACUAAAAAGAAUGACUUGAAAAGGUUUUGAUGAAUUCAUGAAACUUUUUGAUUGAUAGAGGCAAUCGCAUUUUUUUGAGCAUCCACAAAACCAUCUGGAAGUUGCAUAAAAGAAAUAAAUCGUUAAAUAACCUCAUAAAUAUAAACAAACAAUUUUUAAGUCAAAUUGGCAGAUUUAUUUAUGAGCUGAUAAUCAAUAAAUUAUCUCCUGCACACAAUUAACUUCAACAAUGUGCCAAUUAUCGCUGAUAUCAUUAACAUACUUUUCUGGUACUACACAAACGUUUUAAUGCUUUAACAAACAAAUCCCAAUGUAGAUAAACGUUAUUUUAUGUGAGUAUCGAAAAAAGCUUUUCAAAACCCAAGGUUUAUUUGUAGAGCUUUUACUGAUGGUUGUAAUUACUAUACAUUUUUAAUGAUAUCAAAAAGAAAUUAUUUAUUUAUUAAACAAUUUACAGAAAACUGUAAAAUUCACGUCAUUAAUUCAUAUGUAGUAACACCAAAUUAUUAGAGAUGGGGCUACUUCAACGUUCUUAAAAAAAAUUUACGUUUUAAUUUUAAUAUAUUGAUCAAUUUUUAAAUUAAAAUUAAAUAAU